rnacentral:lncRNA from 1 species
AGGCCCCGCCUCCGCAAGGCUCUUCGCCCCGCCCUGACAGCGAGCCGGAGGAGCCGUACCUUCUAAGGUCAUCUUUGCUCACCUACUCAUCAAAAAUCCAGCCCUGUUAUUUAAAAUCCGAUUUCCUGGGAGUCUUCACGUGGGACCUUUGGGAUGGAGGAGGUAAGAGGUUGCCUUGAGUUUCAGAAGAGACUUUGGACUUUUGAAGUGUUAAACUCUUAAAAGACUAUGGGGACUUUUGAAGUUGGACUACAUAGUUUUGCAUCAUGAGAUGGCCAUGAACUUAUGUGGUCCAGAGGCCAGCUGUGGAGGCCGUCUGUUUUUCUACACCUAAAAGUCACGACAUGUGAGUACCUGACAGAAGCCUAGCGACAAGCUUCUAAGCAUUCAGCAGAGCACCGACCACGAACUGGACCGUUAGGAACAAAGGAAGAGGAUCGGUGACUGCAGAUUCUCCCCACCCCAGAGCUCUGACUUGGGAAAUUAUAUUUUCUUUUGCAUUUCCAAGUGAAUUGUGAAAAACUGGAUUUGUAUAAUAAACAAAAGCAUGAAGCCUACUGGAGCAAUCUGCUAACCAGAUGAUCACCUGGGUGAUCCGGCUGUUCCAGAACCUUAGGAGAACUACUCAUACUAUACAAUCUCGCUUUACACGUGAAAUGAUAGCCUUUGGAUAUUCAUGGUAUAUUGUAGACUGAAACUUCAGAUAUAUCAACAGGUGCACUUAAACUAACUCCAUGGGACGUAGCAAAAAUGAACAAGGUAAUUUCCACAUUAUAAAUUAAUUCACUGUACUAUUAUAGCUAUAUUCUUACCUCAGAAACUUUCGUAUUAAAAUUAUACAGAUCCUGCUGCAUAACACUUUCCACUUAUGUUCUGUUCAAUAAAUUAAGUUUUAUAUUACUAAA